AGUGGAUUAGCCCAGUGGUUAGAGCUCAGGGCUUGGAAUCGCGAGGUGCCGGGUUCGAUUCUCGCCAAAGGCAG
rnacentral:tRNA from 1 species